rnacentral:misc_RNA from 1 species
ACACAACACCCCCACUCCAUCUUCACACUUGGCGGCUGGCGCUUUUCUUUCUCCUGGUCUCCGCAAUCGAGACAGCGAUGACGUUUCGUCGCUGCACACAAUGAGAGAUCGAUAACGGAUGGGGAGAGGGAGGAUAGAUGAGACGAGCGGCCCCCUGUACCCCUAGCCCCUCUGUCACCCCUUCUUGGUGGAUGGAAUCGAACGCUGCCGGCCCUGUGGACCUAGCUCACGUGGGGAUCAUAGCUGCGGUUGCAUAGUUGGCGCCGUGAUUCGCAGAUGCAUCAACGCACGCAACGGCCUUCCCCUCGUUGUCUUUUUUAGCCGCCCGCCCUCCUGUGGUUUCAUGAGCGACUUCGCGCUUUCUCACACACCAGGGGGCGGCACCUUGCCUCUUCACUUUCGGCUCGGGUUUUCAGCAGAGCGGGACGCAUGCGAACGGCGACAAACAAAGAGAAACAGUGCCGACACUAAGAUAUACCGCGGCUCACGCACAGCCACCGAUACGAGCGCCGAGCACGCAGACAGCCCGGCUGUGGAAAGAGGGGAGGGGGGUCGGAGAGAGGCGUAGCACACCCAUCUAGUUUUGACGAGUUGCCCUGCCUCUCUACUUCACCAGCAGCAUACAAUAUAUGUGUUUGUGUGUGAUCGUUUGUUUCUUCUCAGUCGUCAUCGCUUCUCCCCCCUCCCGGAUAUCACUCCUCCGCUUCCACCUGCACAAAGACGAAGAGGAGGUGAAGUGCGAGAGCGGUUGUGUUGGCAACAGUGCUCGCACUAUUAUCUUGUUUUUUUUUUCUAUGAUUCGCCGGGCGCGGCUGACAGGCAGUGAGCUCCGAUAACUUUCCCACAUCUUUGAAAACCAAACGGGCGUCGCAUACACGCACGCGCACCAAAAGGCGGCGUUCUCAGGGCUAGAGGCGACGUGAGUGCUUCUACCGGUCAUGAGCGCAGAAAAGGACAAGUGUGUUGUGCUUUUUUUUAGAUUUGCGUGCUGUUGUCGUGUUGCUGCUGUUGCUAUCGCGGUCUCUCGCGCGCCUCACAGCACUCUGUAUUCUUUCUUUUUGCCUGCACGAAGACGUCUCUUUGGCGCGCAGUGUGCUUUCUGACGGGAUGGGGACGGCGCACGCAUGUGUCCGCUCCGCCAUUGCUACCUACGCGCUCAGCAGUGAUGUGUGUGCGUGUGUGUGUCUGACAGAGACUCGUGGCAGCCGCCGGAGCACCCACACACACACACACAUAUCGACAGCUGCGGUCUCUUCUUUUUCACCAUCGCCUGUAAUAUAGCCUUCCUUCUGGGGCCUCUGUCGCGGGUACAACCACCUGCCACAACGUCUUUCGCCCAACAG